rnacentral:rRNA from 1 species
GACGAACGCUGGCGGCGUGCUUAACACAUGCAAGUCGAACGGAAAGGCCCUGCUUUUGUGGGGUGCUCGAGUGGCGAACGGGUGAGUAACACGUGAGUAACCUGCCCUUGACUUUGGGAUAACUUCAGGAAACUGGGGCUAAUACCGGAUAGGAGCUCCUGCUGCAUGGUGGGGUUGGAAAGUUUCGGCGGUUGGGGAUGGACUCGCGGCUUAUCAGCUUGUUGGUGGGGUAGUGGCUUACCAAGGCUUUGACGGGUAGCCGGCCUGAGAGGGUGACCGGCCACAUUGGGACUGAGAUACGGCCCAGACUCCUACGGGAGGCAGCAGUGGGGAAUAUUGCACAAUGGGCGGAAGCCUGAUGCAGCAACGCCGCGUGCGGGAUGACGGCCUCGGUGUAACGACUUCGUCCUCGUGACGAAGCGUGAGUGACGGUAAGUAGGGUAAAGGAAGAC